UGUGGUACCCCGCUUGACUUAAGCAUAUCAAUAAGCGGAGGAAAAGAAACCAACAGGGAUUGCCCUAGUAACGGCGAGUGAAGCGGCAACAGCUCAAAUUUGAAAUCUGGCUCUUUCAGGGUCCGAGUUGUAAUUUGCAGAGGGUGCUUUGGUGUUGGCGGCGGUCUAAGUUCCUUGGAACAGGACAUCGCAGAGGGUGAGAAUCCCGUAUGUGGUCGCCUGCCUUCGCCGUGUAAAGCCCCUUCGACGAGUCGAGUUGUUUGGGAAUGCAGCUCUAAAUGGGAGGUAAAUUUCUUCUAAAGCUAAAUACCGGCCAGAGACCGAUAGCGCACAAGUAGAGUGAUCGAAAGAUGAAAAGCACUUUGGAAAGAGAGUCAAACAGCACGUGAAAUUGUUAAAAGGGAAGCGCUUGCAGCCAGACUUGCCUGUAGUUGCUCGCCUGGGCUUUUGCCCGGGUUACUCUUCUGCAGGCAGGCCAGCAUCAGUUUGGGCGGUCGGAUAAAGGUCCCUUUCACGUAUCUCCCUUCGGGGUUAACAUAUAGGGGGGACGUAAUGCGACCAGCCUGGACUGAGGUCCGCGCAUCUGCUAGGAUGCUGGCGUAAUGGCUGUAAGCGGCCCGUCUUGAAACACGGACCAAGGAGUCUAACAUCUAUGCGAGUGUUUGGGUGUCAAGCCCGAGCGCGUAAUGAAAGUGAACGGAGGUGGGAACCCUUCGGGGCGCACCAUCGACCGAUCCUGAUGUCUUCGGAUGGAUUUGAGUAAGAGCAUAGCUGUUGGGACCCGAAAGAUGGUGAACUAUGCUUGAAUAGGGUGAAGCCAGAGGAAACUCUGGUGGAGGCUCGCAGCGGUUCUGACGUGCAAAUCGAUCGUCAAAUUUGGGCAUAGGGGCGAAAGACUAAUCGAACUAUCUAGUAGCUGGUUCCUGCCGAAGUUCGCCCUCAGGAUA
rnacentral:rRNA from 1 species